GAUGAACGCUGGCGGCGUGCCUAAUACAUGCAAGUAGAACGCUGAAGGAGGAGCUUGCUCUUCUGGAUGAGUUGCGAACGGGUGAGUAACGCGUAGGUAACCUGCCUGGUAGCGGGGGAUAACUAUUGGAAACGAUAGCUAAUACCGCAUGACAACAGUUAUUGCAUGAUAACUGUUUAAAAGGGGCAACUGCUCCACUACCAGAUGGACCUGCGUUGUAUUAGCUAGUUGGUGAGGUAACGGCUCACCAAGGCGACGAUACAUAGCCGACCUGAGAGGGUGAUCGGCCAACCUGGGACUGAGACACGGCCCAGGCUCCUAAGGGAGGCAGCAGUAGGGAAUCUUCGGCAAUGGACGGAAGUCUGACCGAGCAACGCCGCGUGAGUGAAGAAGGGUUUCGGAUCGUAAAGCUCUGUUGUAAGAGAAGAACGAGUGUGAGAGUGGAAAGUUCACACUGUGACGGUAUCUUACCAGAAAGGGACGGCUAACUACGUG
rnacentral:rRNA from 1 species